AUUGAACGCUGGCGGAAUGCUUUACACAUGCAAGUCGAACGGCAGCACGGACUUCGGUCUGGUGGCGAGUGGCGAACGGGUGAGUAAUAUAUCGGAACGUGCCCAGUCGUGGGGGAUAACGUAGUGAAAAUUACGCUAAUACCGCAUACGAUCUAUGGAUGAAAGCGGGGGAUCGCAAGACCUCGCGCGAUUGGAGCGGCCGAUAUCAGAUUAGGUAGUUGGUGAGGUAAAGGCUCACCAAGCCGACGAUCUGUAGCUGGUCUGAGAGGACGACCAGCCACACUGGAACUGAGACACGGUCCAGACUCCUACGGGAGGCAGCAGUGGGGAAUUUUGGACAAUGGACGCGAGUCUGAUCCAGCCAUUCCGCGAGCAGGACGAAGGCCUUCGGGUUGUAAACUGCUUUUGUACAGAACGAAAAGGUCUCUAUUAAUACUAGGGGCUCAUGACGGUACUGUAAGAAUAAGCACCGGCUAACUACGUGCCAGCCGCCGCCGUAA
rnacentral:rRNA from 1 species